rnacentral:lncRNA from 1 species
AAAGCUCUGACCUCGCUUUUCUUUUUCAGCAUCACAGACCUGGCUCCCUCCUGGGGACAGGUUACUCGGUCUGUGGAAAGCAGCUCUGCCUUCUACGGAACAAAGGCAUCCCAAAAGAUCAGCUGUACAACGUCACUUCAUAUUCCUUAGGUUAGACGAUUAUAACUCCAUCUGAACAAGAAAUCAGAAAUACUUUCUUCUUGAUCACAUGGCAAGAAUCUGAACUCGUUCAAAGAGUUGCUCCAACCCCUAACCCCGCAAGAUCCUGAGGGUGACAGGAGGAUGCCAACCCCCCCACAAUACACCUCUCUGCACUGGCAGGCUAAGGAGUGGAUCCAAAACGAUUUCUGCAAUUUCACAGGAGCCAGACGGCAAAAUAUUCCCUACCAGUAAAGUGAACACAAGCCUGAACACACUGGAAUUCAAGGAGAAAAUUGUAGAUAUACAAAACUUACAAUAAAUCCUUUCCCAAAUUACA